rnacentral:rRNA from 1 species
UACAGAGGUCCCAAGCGUUGUUCGGAUUUACUGGGCGUAAAGGGUGCGUAGGAGGUUGGCAAAGUCGGGUGUGAAAUCUCACCGCUUAACGGUGAAAUUGCGCUCGAUACUGGUUGACUAGAGUAUCGGAGGGGAAAGCGGAAUUCCUGGUGUAGCGGUGAAAUGCGUAGAUAUCAGGAGGAACACCGGUGGCGAAGGCGGGUCUCUGGGCCGAUACUGACGCUGAGGAGCGAAAGCGUGGGGAGCGAACAGG